ACAUUAUAUCCCCCUUCCGCUAUGUUUCUUACAUGCCUAUCUUUAAGUUUCUGCAUCCCCAUCUCUUGUUUAAAAAAGUGCCACCACUGACUCCUGCCUCGUUGGGUCUAUCUCUUUCGAAACCAUCAUUCAGACUGUUCAUUUUAUAGCAACACAUUGAUCCAGUCAUUAAUAAAUCUAUGUAUGGAUCACCUCCAAUUGAAAGGAAAUAUCAUUGUGAAGUAAACUGGAUCUCCACCUCAGCAGUUUGGCCUUGGAUUGAGCAGACUGAGUAGAGAUUUCUUCAACUUUUCUGAGAACUAUUUGAAGAGGCAUGGCUACUGACAAUCUAGUAAUCAAAGACGAAACCACAUCCUCCCAUGUCGUCUUGACUGUCUUCUUCAUCCUGGUCUCCCUCGUUGCCCUCCUGGUCAUCCUGUACAUGUGGCUGAACCACCAGACUAAUGGCCAGUACACAGUCCACCAACUGGUCCUUGGGGAGGGUGGGGCCAGGGACCGGGUGAGGGGCGGCGUCCAAGUCCUGGAGGUGUGGCUCGGGUGUCGCCUUUGGCCUCUCAGUGAGGAUGAGGAGGCUAUAGGAGAGGAGGAAGAGAGAGACGAAGAGGAGGAUG